CAGGCCGGGCCCGCCCUUUGGGGUUCCUCUGGUCACUUACCCACAGAGAAGGGGCUCGGACCCCAGCCCCAUGCCCAGCUCAGCAGGCCUCUCCUGCCCUCCUGUGCCCUCCUUGGUCCCAGAAAGGGCAGGUCUGCAGCCGUGGGCUUGGUCUCGCUCCCCACUGCUGCUCCCUGACAAGUGAUGGCACUUCAGUAGGCUCUGUGGUGCCUGCGAGUGGCGUCUCUCAUCUACCACCUGCUUGACCCUCUUCACUUUCCACUGCUAGCCCAGGCCCACUGCUGAGCUGGGACCAAGGGGUCUGCCACGGCCCAUGGCUCCGGUGUGGGCAGAGCCUGCAGAGGUAACAUGGCAGUGGCCUCGCUGCCCCCAUGCACCACUCUGUAUGCCACCCCAUCUGUGGAGGGGCCUGCACGGUGAGGGCUGGCUCUGGCCGGCCUGGGAAAGCUAGGCACCUUUCGGAAUGUGCUUCGUUCAGCCUGGCCCAGGGUAGCCUCUGCCUCCACCUUCAGGGCCCACAGCAGCAAGCGGUUUUGACCCCAAGUGAGAUUCCAGUGACCCAGCGGCCAGCGCAGCUCCAAGGCUCCUGGGCGAGGCCUCAGCCUCCCCCACAGACUGUCCUGAAGCCUGACCCCUCAGGCUACCUCAGCAGGGGGGUGGGCACUGGCGAGCCCCACUCCAUCCUGGGUCCUCACUUGGCCCCAGCCUGGUCUAGCCUGAGCUGCCCGGUGCCCAGAAGAGCACACGGGCAGCUUUUCACUGGCCCAGGAGCCCUAGCCCCGCUCAGAGCUCUAACAGGCACUCCCCAGCAUCAGGGCUGCCCUGGCCAUCACAGGCUGUGUGAUCUUGGACCUUGGCUGUCCCCAUCCACAAGAUGUGGGCCCGGACCACCCUGACCAGAGUUCCUUCUGGUCUCUGAGUCACAGGGCAAGGACGGCUCAGUUCUGCUGGAAGUUCUCAGUGUCUCUUCAGCCCCCAACGUCAGUCCUUCCCAGAGCCUGAGGCCCCGCCACACAGGUCACAGUACACAAGCGCAUCAGGCAUCAAUUCCUCCCGGGCCACGGCUGGGGCAGCAGACUAGCCCACAACCAGCCAGUGCCACGGACUCUGCCUUUGACAUGUAAGUCCUGCACCACACCACGUGCACACAGAAACGGGCUCACACACAACAGACACACACUCGGCACACCUGUGGCCCCACCACAAAUGCAGACACACACACAGAAGAACAUCUGUCCCCCAACCCUAAUCCCAUGUUGCGGACACAACCACAGACAUGAGCACACAAACCUGCUCGCAAAACCCACUCCCUCAACUCAUUCCUCAACCCCUCCCCUCCACACCCACAGACACCACACUGUACACACAGGCACACUCUUAGCAAUCUUAUACACAGACUCAUAUACACGCCUGGACACAGCAAGCAUGUGAGAACCAUCACUCUCCAGUACGGAACCCCCUCAAAGAUGGACAGACACACAGCCCCGCAAGCCCAGACACACACUCAUCUUGGCGCUUGGUUACAUUCCAUAUGGCAGGCAGCACCCAGCCCAGAAGAGCGGCUCCAGAUAAAUAAGUCAUGUUCAGAGCAUUAAUCUCAGCCCCAACCUGGCUGCCUCCCUGCUACAGGUAAAGUGAAAUGGGGCUUCAAUAUUUCAUAAACGAAUAAACCUGCUAAGAGAACACAAUUUACAAGGCCGCCGGCUGCAGACUCCUGACGGCCCUCACACAUCUUUUCACUUUGGGAGCAUGUGGUGGUGACUGCGGGUGGUGGCCAGUGGGGCAUGCUGCCUGGUACCCCACCUGCCCCCCUCUUCCCGGGGUGCUUCCCAGGGAAGGGUGCAUUCUGUGAUUUUCCAUCCACUAAAUCCAGCUGCUGUCCAGGGACAGGGCCCUGCACUCUCUCCCCUCUUCUGCCUUCCUCUCAAGUCUUGGAUGCCUUUUAAAUGCCAGUCCAUCCUUGGCAGCUCUGAUUUUCCAAGGUCUGUUUCACGCAGGGAUGGGAUGUGUCAGAACUGAACUGCUUAGGAAUGGAGAAAGAAGGCUGGUAGAGGGGAUGGGUAGGGCCAGGGCAGCUUGGAGUUCAAGAGGCAGCUGAGCUGAGGGAGGCUGCGCCUGGUGCCAGGCCCACAGGCCCCAAAGGGGAGGCCAAGCAGCCCAGGGCAGCAGAAACCUGCUCCUAGAACAUACAGUGGGAGCAGAAGGGGGCCACAGGGCCAACCACGGGCUAAGUCUGCAUGUGGCUGGGCAAGGGGGACCUGGAUGUGACUGAGGUCUGGGACCUUGGUAUGGCCUUGCUGCUGGAGCCUGGUCUCCUUAGGGGCAACAAGUCUUCAACAGCUCUGCACAGGCUGGGUGGCACUGGCUGGGCUUGGUGGCCCCUGCCCAGACUGCCAAUUAAGGAGCCAGGGCAAGGGUUCCUGGGGUUGGCAGAUGGGGAGAGGUCCAACCAAGUCAGGAAGCAGCCAUCCAGUCCGACUUCUCUCUGAAGCUCCCAAGAUCCGGUUCCAGUUCUCUCCAGACUCACAGACUCAGGGAAAAGGAGCAGGCUUCACACAGGAAGGGAGAGAAGCAAGACAUCAGAUGGCUCACGGAGGAAGAAGGCAGCACCCUUUAACAAAAGACCCCAGGACAGGGCAGAGAAGAAUCAAAUGAGGCUGGCUUCAGGGCCUGGGAGUUUGGGUGGACUGCUUUCCUUUACAUUUGCCUUACUUUCCAGAAGUCUAUAAUCAGCCCAUCCUCUUUCUGUAGUGGGAGAGAAAACUAUUAAAACACAAGGGCCUUACAAAACCAAAUAUACAGCAUGACUCCAUAUUUUAUAUUUAUUACAUCUAUCGUGUUGUUUACCAUAUGUCUAGAGCAAAAAUGCUGACGAUUAUGUUCUAGGGGUGGAAUUUAUAAGAGGUUUUUGCUUGUCAUCUGGCAUUUUUAGCUUUUUCUAAAAUCAACAUGGUCAUAACCUGGUGAAAGUGUUAGUUGCUCCUUCCUCUCCUACUCUUUGUGACCCCCAUGGACUGCAGCCCCCCAGGCUUCUCUGUCCAUGAAUUUCUCCAGGCAAAAAUAUUGGAAUGGGUUGCCAUUUCCUUCUCCAGGGGAUCUUCCCAACCCCGGGAUCGAAUCCGGGUCUCCCACAUUGCAGGCAAAUUCUUUACAGUCUGAGCCACCAGGGAAGCCCUUUAUAACCUGAUUUUAUUUAAAAAAAAAAAAUAAAUGCUCAGGCCUGAUAAGUUCUUUUCCACACCAAGUCUUCUCCCGCGGCCGCUGAAGUCCAUUCUCACCCUCCCAGUUCUCGAAAGGCCAAGGACAGCUGACCCCGCCCAGGACACCUCUUCCAAGGCCCAAGGCUGCACCCUUCAGCGGCCUGCCCAGGCCAUGUGCGGGCGAGCAGAGGUCAGCUGAGUGCCCGAGGGGAGACGGGGGGGGGGGGGGGCGGGCGGCGC
ensembl:lincRNA